rnacentral:rRNA from 1 species
AGGACGAACGCUGGCGGCGUGCUUAACACAUGCAAGUCGAGCGACGCUCCUCCUUCGGGAGGAUGACGGAGCGGCGAACGGGUGAGUAACACGUGAGCAAUCUGCCCUUGACUCUGGGAUAACUUCGGGAAACCGGAGCUAAUACCGGAUAUGACGCACGGCCGCAUGGUCUGUGUGUGGAAAGAUUUAUCGGUCAAGGAUGAGCUCGCGGCCUAUCAGCUUGUUGGUGGGGUAAUGGCCUACCAAGGCGACGACGGGUAGCCGGCCUGAGAGGGCGACCGGCCACGACUGGGACUGAGACACGGCCCAGACUCCUACGGGAGGCAGCAGUGGGGAAUAUUGCGCAAUGGGCGAAAGCCUGACGCAGCGACGCCGCGUGAGGGAUGAAGGCCUUCGGGUCGUAAACCUCUUUCAGCAGGGAAGAGCGAAAGUGACGUACUGCAGAAGAGCACCGGCUAACUACGUGCCAGCAGCCGC